UACGGAGGGUGCUAGCGUUGUUCGGAAUUACUGGGCGUAAAGGGCGCGUAGGCGGCCUGUUAAGUCGAACGUGAAAUCCCUAGGCUCAACCUAGGAACUGCGUCCGAUACUGGCAGGCUUGAAUCCGGGAGAGGGAUGCGGAAUUCUAGGUGUAGCGGUGAAAUGCGUAGAUAUCUGGAGGAACACCGGUGGCGAAGGCGGCAUCCUGGACCGGCAUUGACGCUGAGGCGCGAAAGCCAGGGGAGCAAACGGG
rnacentral:rRNA from 1 species